rnacentral:rRNA from 1 species
UACGGAGGGUGCGAGCGUUGUCCGGAAUCAUUGGGCGUAAAGGGCGCGUAGGUGGCCCAGCAAGCGUGCGGUGAAAGCUCGGGGCUCAACCCCGAGUCGGCCGUGCGAACUGCUGGCUGGAGCACUGUAGAGGCAGGCGGAAUUCCGGGUGUAGCGGUGGAAUGCGUAGAGAUCCGGAAGAACACCGGUGGCGAAGGCGGCCUGCUGGGCGAUU